rnacentral:miRNA from 1 species
CACCAAGGUCUUUCUGAGUAGA